rnacentral:rRNA from 1 species
AUGUCAUAUUUGCAAUCUCAUCGUAGUGACUAUGCAUAUGCCAUUAAAAUAAACCCAAUUUGCACUUAUGGCUUAGAUGACAAGCCCAUGGUUAUUGGCAUUUGUUUUUCUUGUGAUGAUAUUGAUAUGCUCCCUUUGCAUCAUUUAUCUCAUAUGCCAUGCCAUGACUACCUACCUUCGGAUAUGCAUUAUUUUGGAUGUUGUCCAUUUUCUCCAUAUGAUGUUUCCAAUGUUGUUCAUGAGGAGACCCCCAUAGUUUCCACAUACAUGUUAGGAGAAUUUGAUCCAUCCCAUUCAUUGCAUGAACCCAAUACUUGUAUACACAAUAUGCUCCCCAUGAACAAACAUGCUAUUGAUGUGCCAUAUACUUGCAUUCUCAAUUUGUGUCCCCAUCGUGUCAUACAUAAUAACUAUUCUUUCAUGAUGGAUGACAUGUUCUUAUACCAUGCAUCAAAUUUCAUUGAGCAUUUCUUAUCUUGUGCUAACUCACAGGUGCACAUACACAUCAUGAUGGAUGAUGUGUACAUUUACCACGCGCACAAUUUCUUUGGUUUGUGUCUCUUUUGUGUAGGUACCCAUGAAUACUUGUCAACCUCUCAAUCCCACGAGUUGACAAAACGAGCUCUAGAGAGCAACGAUGAUUUGGGAUCUCAUGGAUUGUUUUUCCCACCGAUCUCUCUUCACGCGAAGACUUCGCACAUUUCUUCUACAUGGCCCUCACUUGGCUAUGGGUUGUUCUCCAUUAUAUAUCCUUUGCCCAUAUUGCCAUGUUCACUUUGCAUGAUAUGCCCAUUCCUAUGCCUUUGCCAUGCAUUUGUGACCCAUGCUUUGCAUCACACAUGA